rnacentral:lncRNA from 1 species
UUUUCUUGGAUCCGUGGUUAGCUACCACCAUUUCACAUUCGAAUUCCUUUAUCAAGUUACAAUAUCCCGAUCCUAUGAUGAAAAAUUCUUUGUUUUAUUGUUCAAAUAUGUAUUUAUUAUUUUUUUUAAAUUGCUGGUCAAAAACAUAUUAAGUAAAAUUCGAAAUAUGCUAAUUACCCUUGCAGAGCAUCUAGUCACCUUUUUUUAUAUAUAAAUAUUUAUUUUGUACGAGGAUUAUUUUCAUUUUUAUUUUAGAUUAGAUUCUUAACAUAUUUUGUACUGUCCUUUUCUUUUUGUCUUGUAUACUUAUUCAGUGGUUGUUUGUUUAUGUGUUCAAUUUGUUUUUCGUUCAUUUUUUGUACAUGAGUUAAGCCGUUAGUUUUCUCGUUUUACAUUGUUAUUUCGGGGCCUUUAAAGUUUUAUAGCUGACUAUGCGGUAUGGACUUUGCUCAUUGUUGACGGCCGUGCGAUGACCUAUUGUUGGUAAUUUCUGUCAUUUUGGUCUCUUGUGGAGAGUUGUCUAUUUGGCAAUCAUACCACAUCUUCUUUUUUUAUAUCUAUUGUAUACAUUUUGUUUUUGUCUCUGAUAUAGUCACCUUAAAAGGGUUCCUUGAUAGGAUCUUAAUUGUUAAAAUGACUGGUUUUGUGCUUAUUUUCAUUUCAAAUACCAUAUAUGAAUAUAAUAGGACAGACAAGGAAUAUGGAACGCCAUAGCUGUGUCACAGUGGAAAAAUGGACAAAAAUUGAUUUUGAUACUUUUUGGACAUUUUGUUAAAGAUUUUGUAAAACCAGUGAUUUUGUUAUAUUUGCAAUAUUUCACUAGGGAUUUUGAUAUUUUUAUUGUGCAAGAUUUA